AGCCGUUGGGGGGCAGAGGGGGAGCGGGAGGAGGGGCGGCCGUGCGGCUCCGAGCACCGCCGGGCGGCCCGUCACCGCCCGGCAGAGGAGAAUCCCGCCACGGGCGAGUGAGGAGAGGCAGCGGCGAAGCGAGCGGGGUAGCGCGGAGCCAAGGAGAGGCCGGCGUGCCACCCACCCCCCCCUGCGGUGAAAUCCCUCUCGCUCCCAGGGACAGGCCCUCCCGCCUGGAGGAAGCCGCGUAAAUACGUGAGCCUUUUCAUCCCAAUGGAAUUACCAGCGCCACAGGAAUAAUCCUGUCGUUGUCCAUGUUGCUUGGCUCACAGCGACGUUUUCGGAAUGCUUCUGUGGAGUCCGGCCCCACCGGGUGGCUGCUGACCUUUUCUUGUCGGUUGACCCCUAAAAAGUUGUGAAGGGAAGAGACUGCAUAGAGUUAGUUUAAACCACCUAUGUAGUGCCUGGCUUUUGGCUGGCAUUCACGGAUGCUUCACAAAACGAGGUUACUGAUAGACCUGAUGUCUGAAAACACCACCGAACAGCCAGCACAGGCUACACAGCACCAUUUUUCCUCUGGAUUUAUACAGCUUCUGGCAGAGCAGACUCCCAGGGUGAAGAGCGCCUCAAAUCACCAGCCAAUGUGGCUCACCUGAUGUGUGUUAGGCCAGAAAGUCAGCAGCACACCUGAAAAGCACUUGUGGAGGAUUUUGUUAUGCCAUGAAAGCCACAUGAGGUGGGACUUCAGUAAGUAUUUAUCUCAGAGUUGAAGAACACUAACAAAAAUCAUAAUGUGUAAGAAGGAUUAACCCCUCCAUUUAUGAAUGAAAUGAUACAACUAUUGCUUAUUUUAUUGACAUAAGGAACUGUAAUUUAGACAAAAAAAUUCAAGAGAAAUAGGGUCAAAUCAUAAGCCACCUGUUGACUGGAAUAAGAAGAAAUGGGUAUUUUUAUCAGAGAGCUAUUACAGCUUUAUCUUUAACGCUGUAUGGAUAGUCAUGUCACAGAGGGAGACUAUGCUGCUGCACGCUUCCAGUCUUUCCAGAUGGUAAACAAUUUCAUUACUAGAAAGGGAGUAGAUUCAGAUGGUAAUGCUUUGUGCCUCAUCUCUGGGUUGGGACAAAGAUUCACUCAUUUAAAAUUAGAGCUGAGACUGCAAAAGGAUUUUCUCUGUCUCUUAAAGAGAACCAAAAUCUCAUACAGAUUACACAUGCAUAUGUAUGAAGAGACAGUCAUUUCCUUUGUUUGAAUUGCCACUCAUGCUCUGUGAUGCACUUCUAAAAGUGCAUUCCCCCAUUCUCUUCCCAAUGCGAACUGGGAAUUGAGAUUGACUCACCGUUUCUGAAUAAAACAUGUUUUUCCUUAUUACAUUGGGGUGCUUUCUGGACGCUCAAGAUUCUGUAUUAGUCUUUCCCAUGGAAGCAAGUGCACUGAAGUAAGUAGAGCAAGUGAGGAGAGAACUGGGCCCCAAAGCCCUUUAAGAAGGAAGUUUAGAUGGAUUUAACAUAUAUGAAGUUUCAGAAUAAGAUUCAUUUGGAAGGAAAGGUGCCAUGUCACAGCAAGUCAAAGGUGUGCUCACAGAGCAAAACCUGUAUGAACAAGUACCCGGAAAUCAGACAAGGUAGAAAAGUUCCAAAGCUUAAGGAGACUUACCUGGUAGAUUUAUUUUAGAAUGACACAUCAAGUACUCAGGCUCAUCUUUUCCUGUGAAAUCCUUAUCAGCUUCCACAAACAUCUAGAUGUUAAAAGAAAAGCCUCUUCUAAGUUAUAUUUAAAGCAUAAACUUGUCUUUCUUAUAACAACACCAUGACAGAAAUGUUAUUUCUGCUGAAACUCACAAUAACAUCAGGCUGUUUGGUAAAAUGAUAUUCAUGGGAUACUCUAGAUAAAUGAGCUGCAUUAAAGACAUGCUUCUUACCUGAA